AUUUUGUGCUAAGAAAGAAAUUAAAAGUGUAUAUUGCCAGAGUCACUCAGAACAGAGCGGACUCCAUUUUGCUAUCUUCAGGAUAACAAAAACACAAUUUCUUCUUACUUUCUGUAACUAGCCACUUGCUUGAACUAAGGGAAUGCAUUAUGUAAACACAGACACUAGUGACAGAGAAGACUAAGUAAUUAAUUUUGCUUUCUAAAUUUUACAAGGUUCCAUUGUAAGUAAGGGGUGAAAUUGAGUUUAGAACUGUCAAUUUUAGAAAUUACGAUCAAAGUAGUUGCCACAAAGACUGAGACAAACGCUUUGAACAGACAGCAAAUCUAAGUUAUGGU